GCGUGUGGGAGGAAGCUCAUCUGGACGGACCGUGUGGUGGGCAGCAGGAAAGGGUGUGUGCUGAAAGGAAUGGUGGCCCUGUGAGUGUGAGUGUGUGUGUGUGUGUGUGUGUGUGUGUGUGUGUGUGUGUGUGUAGGAGGGGUGAGAGUGUCCACCGCACGCCCCUCCCUGCGCCUGCACCUUGAUUCUACUGGAUCAGGUAUGUGGCCCUGGCCCACAGAGCCAUCUUGAAAUGAAAACCCAAA